UGGGGACUCUUUCGGAUCUGGUUUAGGAUCUGGUUUAGGGUCUGGAGAGGUUUAUCCAUCCCCACCCGCUCUGGGGAAGGUUUGGGAUCUGGUUUGGGAUCUGCUGGGGUUUACCCAUCCCCACCCGCUCUGGGGAAGGUUUGGGAUCAGGUUUAGGAUCUGCUGGGGUUUCUCCAUCCCCACAGCUCUGGGUCCUUCCCUGGUGCCCAGGGGUGAAGGUGCCAACGCUCAGAGCCU
rnacentral:lncRNA from 1 species